rnacentral:lncRNA from 1 species
CGGUGUUGACUGGUCCGACUGCUGCCCUUCUGCCCAAGAGUAGUUCAAACUGUAAGUUCAGCAAACUAAAUAAUUAAAUAUUGAUAGUUUUAGAGAUCUAUACUGAUUUUCCAGUCUGUCUACUCAAGAUUCCGGCUUCCUAAGAGGGGAGCGAGGGUGGAGACCAUCGCCUGGAGGGGUGUGUGACAUGGGGACAUUUAUUGACAACCCAGCAGUAUGACUUUCUAUGAACUGCUUAGGCCAUUGCAGCCAUUGGCCCGCUUCCUUCUGAGCUCUUUCUUGCUACAUUGUAAUACUACGUGAAGCUUCGUUGUAGCUUUUGACUGACUUCCUUCUGAGCUCUUCUUUGCUACAUUGUAAUGCGACAUGAAGCUUUGGCAUCUGGGUAAUGCUGAAUUGGUAUUUCCCAGAUGUCUUUUUCUUUCUGGAUAGCCUUGUGUGCUCUCAUAUCUUGGUUCAAGCAGAUGGCUCUUAAUAUGUAGAUACCUCCAGAUCCAGGAGCUGAAUUCUUUGGGGUCGGAUGAAAUUCUGUGGUUAGCAAUUUAACGUAUACACUAGCCAAAAUGUCGGCUCUCAGCUGACGAAGGCUGUGCUUAUAGAAUACUAUACUAGUAGCUUAUAAAAUGGAAUGUAUUAAAGUACCCA